CUGGGCCGUUGGGAAUGCACGUGCGCACACAUGAGCAGGGUCCAUCCCUAUCCCCCACCGGAUCCAGUCGCACCCCCACUCAGCCGUCUUUUGCCCGAAUCCGAGUACUCUUUGGACCUGCGGCGGCUGCUUGAAUCCCUGGCGUAGCAGUGAUGGAAGAUGCCGGCCUUGAAUUCUUGCAGGAUACGGUCGACCGAUUUCUCGUCCAGGAGGAGUUUGUCGACAGCCUUGAACACCCAGAUCCAGUACCUCUUGCAUUGUUAACGCCUGACGAAGUGAAUCCAGCCGGCCAGGAAGCCCGGAAUGUUGCAUCUGGAUGCGGCAGCAAGUUGACGGUGGUGGCGCUGGUAGGCCGAUGCUGCGGCGACCGACGGUAGCGGGAGAUAUCACCCACUGCGUCCGUCCGCGCAAUCUAUUGACAAGGUAACCCAGAAACAUCUGGAUGGACGAAGAGGAUAAUUGUUUUGUGUUGUUUACCGCUGCCCAAAAGGUACUACUUGGUAAGCUCAGAAAUCACAAGUCUCCAGGAGAAGCGCUCGGAUUUAGGUGUUAAGCCAAAGAACCACAAGGUCAGGCCAGGUUGACCGAGUUAGGUUGAAUAUUCAGUAUGUGCACACCUCUGCAUAUCAUAUUAGGUUGAAUAUUCACCACAUCACUAUCAUGUUCUGGUUUGUACUUUCCGGCUACCAUACCUGUGCAUAUCAUUGCUUUUUUCAUAUUGCUACUUGGUGAUGCUCAAAUUUAUUAUAUGUGCAAUUUUCAGAUCUAAAUUGCUCUUAAGUAAGCCAGUUUCCAAUAAAAUGAUUUAUGAGAAAGAU